rnacentral:rRNA from 1 species
CCCUUCGAUGUUCUGGGCCGCACGCGCGCUACAAUGAUGAAUUCAACGAGUUUAUAACCUUGGUUGAAAAGCCUGGGUAAUCUUUUGAACUUUCGUCGUGAUGGGGCUAGACCCUUGCAAUUAUUGGUCUCCAACGAGGAAUUCCUAGUAAACGCAAGUCAUCAGCUUGCAUUGAUUACGUCCCUGCCCUUUGUACACACCGCCCGUCGCACCUACCGAUUGAAUGGUCCGGUGAAAUCUUCGGAUUGAGACUUUGUUUUCUUCACGGAAAACGCUGUUUUAAAAAGUUGAUUAAACCUUACCAUUUAGAGGAAGGUGAAGUCGUAACA